UUUUGUAGUACAGUAAGGCACUUUAGAAAUGUCAAGUGUGAAUUAUAUUAAAAUACAGUAGUUACAAAAGAAUCAAUCAGCAACAUAUAACUGCGUGAGAACGCGCCAUUUUUAAAUGCGGGUUUGUGAAACCUGCAAUCCUCCAAUAUGCCUGCACUACAACCAACUGCUUACGCCUCACUGUACGCGGAGCUAUUUGUUGCCCUGCAUUGUUCAUUCACACUUAAUUACUCAUUCAAGGGCCAAGCGGGAAACACACUUGACGGGCAUGCUUCUUUUUCUCCAUCCCUCCCCUCUCAUUUCUUUCUUCUCCUUGAGUUGCUACCUUCUUCGGCAAACGAUGAGUUACGGAGCAAUUCUUUCGUCAGAACACCUGGGGUGCGAUCAAACCGCUCGGUGAAGACGGCGUAGCGGCGGCACAACGCGCUCCUCGGGUCCUAUCAUGGAUGCCUCGUACAGACGUCCCUCUGUCUGCACCUACGUUGGGCUACGAUCGGCAUCUGCAUGGAGUGCAAUGACCUUUGGAGCUGCUUACAAGACCUUUACCUGCAUCCUGCCACUGCAAGACAUCUUGUGUGGUCCAUUACCAAGCUCAUUGUCUGCAAGUCAAGUCAUCGUAUCAAGUUUAAUUUGCUCAAUGUAAAGUCCUGUUUGCCUUCCAACAACAGCUAGGCAGUCGGUACUGCAGCUAGAGCAGGGAGUUCCAUCUGCAGUGAAAGCAGUGGAGCCUUUAUGGGCAGAGCCAAUCAGGGCUUUGGCUAGGCUACGCAUUAUUUUUGCAGAGUUGGGAUGUCAACACAGACAGAUAUCUGUCAACUACUAACCAUGACUAUUCAACCUAAUUUGUGCUAUGUCUAGAUGGCACAGGGGCCUUAUGAUUGUUGCAUUACCUAAUAACUCCUAUAUUAUGUACAAGGUACUCAGUGCAGUAACUAUGGUUCCUAUUAAUUACCUUUCUGGGACCCCGUAUCCUCUGUGUCAUGACCAAUUGGCGGGUCACACACCUUAACAUCUUUCUAGAGCUUUAGAGAGACAGCGCCACAGUGCUUGCAAUUGGAAGCAACAAGAAUAGGUGGUGGUCAAAACACAGCAGCCAUGACAUUAUUUCAGCGCCAGCAACAGUUUUCAAGGUUAGCUGGAUACACGCCAUGGUCGCUUAGUGGCUGUGGUGUUGUCAAAUCAUGGUAUCAAAUUCUGAACACAGUGGCAGCCUUUCGACACGGGUGAAGUGCAAAAACUUUGGUGUACCAUAUGCAUUGGGUGCACAUUAAAGAAUCCCAAGCGAUCAGAAUUAAUCCGGAAUCCCUCAGUAUGGUGUGCCUCGUAAUCAAGUCAUGGUUUCGGCGCAUCAAACAAUAGAAUUAAAUAACUUUUUCAAAG